UGAGAGUCAUGGAGAUUAUUUGGGAAAGGUUUGGAUAAGAACAGCUCUUCCUGUCUCCUAACAUCAUUUCUGGAUCUUCUCUGAUGACUCCACCUCCAUGGGAGGAUCUAAUCUGUCUGAUAUAAACCAAACUCACAGCGAAGAGCUUCAGACACUUCACCUUCAUCCUUCAUCAUCAUCAGCUCCAGUCAAACUCUCACCAGGACAGUUUUUCUCAGCCUGAUGGCAGCGUGGAGGCAGAGAUGGAAACCUCUGCAGCUCCUCAUCAUCUUCAGCCUCCUCUUCCUCACAAACCAGUUCGAGGUGAGAGGAGAUGUUGUGGAGAAGCUGAGCUGGGACAUGGCUGCAGAGCUUCAUACCAGAGGAACGUCUGAGAUUCAGGAACUGCUGAAGAUCUCCUCCAGCAGGUAGAUGAU